rnacentral:tRNA from 1 species
GGAGUUGUGGCGCAGCGGUAGAGCGCUCGCCUGGCAUGUGUGAGGCCCUGGGUUCGAUCCCCAGCACCA